rnacentral:misc_RNA from 1 species
ACAUAAAUAUUGUGAACACAGAAAAGGAAACUAGCAAACGGAAAAACAAACAUACGAAUAUAUUCAUGGGUAAAAGCAAGUGGAUUGAUUGCGUCGAAUAUCUGGGAAUUUGAAUUGGUGCAGAAUAAAGCGCAAUUUUAAUUAUUCAUGAUAGAUUUGUGAAUUUGAAAGCAAAAUUAAUUAAGGUGCGCUGUUUUAUAAAAUAGAAAAUUUUUGUAAAGAAAUCAGGAGAAUUGUAACAACGCAAGAAAAUAUUUGUGACGAAAAAUCUGAAAACAGAGUAUACUGCGACAUAUGGAAUACAGGUGAAAACAAUUUGUCAAGUGAGACAUUCACUUUUCAAUCGAAGUGAAUACUAAAUCAAUAGUUGAAAAUCUAGCAAAUUAUUAGGUGCUUGAAAAAUCGAACUUCUAAGCAGAAGAAAAAGCUUCAAUACAUUCAUAGUAUAUCAAAGUGCAUUCAGUAACAAAAUUUGACGCAUAUAAUCCGAGUGAAUGUCAAAUAUUAUAGUUGCUAGAGGAGUGGAUGUAUAGAGUGUACGAAAACAUACUGUUUUGAAUUACCUACGCUCAUAUUGUAAUUAAAUUAACGUUAAUUGGCUGGUGAACGUAUAAUGUUUUGAAGAAAAUACAUGCAUAUUCUUAUAUUGGUAGCCCAUUAGCUAACGAUUCAAGAACUAUUGGAAAGACAGGAAAUUUGAUAUUUAAUCAGUGGCAAAAUAAACAAAAUAAACAGAGGCAAGUUCGAUUGGACCCAACCCAUUAAAAGUGUUUCGUACGCGUACUUGUGACUAAGGCUAACUGAUAGCCUUAGAUCCAUAGACAGACAAUAACGUGCCAGUGUCGCUGCAACAAAAACAAAACACCAUAACAAACCCAUUGCGGGAGGCGUGCCAUCACAAACGGUGCUAGUUUUGUUCUACGUCGUACUUUUUGUAUUUUCUGUGGCUCUUGAACUGAUAAGGUUGUGUGCAGCGACACAAGGUAGGUGCAGAGUGUAAACAAUAACUUAUCAGGGUGUAGAUAUAGAUCGCAAAGCUAUCGCCGAGUGCACACUCACAGACAUUUAUGAAGACUUAACAAUAACAAUAAUCGGUCAAAAAGAGCUGGAACAAACGCAGUAACACCAGCAACAACAUCGCCGCACAAGUACAAACAAAUAAGAUAAAUAAUAAUAAAAUACACAAGUAAAGCCCAAUCGAAAACAAAACAAGACCGCAAAUAGCAAAACAAAGCGUAGCACACGAAAAGCGGGCAAAAUAAAGAGCAACGCUCCAUUGAUGCCGUUGAGUUGUUGUUGAGCCAUAGAGCUGCAAGCUGGCGAACUAAAUGGUCGCGCGAAUUAAACAGAAUCGCAAAUAUACACACAUUGCUGAAGUGAAUGUUGUUGACUAGUUGUGAUCGUUUUGCUCCGUUUGUGUUGCUCUAAUUGUUGCUAGUGCUUUGGAGUCUGCAGUGCACACAUAUCCACACGCUGGUGGCACUUUGGGCAUUGGAGCGGUGCAGUCGUGCGGUUGCUAUUGUGAUUUCCUCAAAAAGCAAGCGAAGCGAAGACUCAAUUUUACGUAGGACGCAGUCUUCGUUGAACUAAAAACAAGCGCUUUCUAGUCAAAGAGACGGCAUAUACAUUACACUUGCCACAUUUUUUGGUGCGUGCAGCAAAACAAAAUGGUGAAGACCUUUCAAGCCUACUUGCCGUCCACGAAUCGAACGUACUCUUGCGUGCAUUGCCGUGCGCAUCUUGCGUCCCACGAUGAGCUCAUCUCGAAAUCGUUCCAGGGUAGUCAAGGACCUGCCUACCUCUUCAACUCGGUGGUGAAUGUGGGCUGUGGCCAAACCGAGGAGCGUGUGCUACUCACCGGUCUACACGCCGUCGCAGACAUAUUCUGCGACUGUUGCAAAACACCGCUGGGCUGGAAGUACGAACACGCCUACGAGAGCAGCCAGAAAUACAAAGAGGGCAAGUACAUAAUAGAAUUGGCGCACAUGAUCAAGGAAAACGGCUGGGAUUGAGCGAAGGUGUUGGUAUUUAUACGAUGGAGCAGAACGCCUAUGAUGAGACGAAGCGUAGCGAUGUCGAGCGAAUGCAGUGCGUGUUAAUGCAGAGGACAAUGUGGAUGUUAUACAAUCUAUGUUAGUGAUAUUGUGUUUGAAGAUGAGCUGGAGAUCGGUAUUGGUAUUAUAUUGCGAGGAAUAUUGGUGAAUGCGAUUGAAGUAUUUUAGUGGCUAGACAUGAAUUAUGUAGUGAUCAUUGAAGUGACGGUUUGGUAAUGUUUAAGAUGUAUUUUGUGUAUACACUUUUGACAUUAUCCUUAAAAACAAGGCGAAUGUCUGCUAUAAACCUCAAUAGAGCAAAUGUGUUUAAAUUAAAGUUAUAAUGUGAUUUUAAGUUUAAAAUUGCCACCGCCUUCUCUUAACACCAUUAAGGAUCAGAACACAAAAACACAGAACCGAUGGCCGCAUACGUUCAUAAAUCUACAUCUAUCACUAUCACUUCUGUUGUUCCUUCCUCACAAAACCGAUACAUUUUCAAUACCUUUUCAUAAAACAACACUUACAAAGAAACAUAACAAAAACAAAAGCAAACAACACUUAUAGUUAAUCCACAAGACAAGCCCUGCAGAAACUCGCUUUUGUAAACCAGUUGCAAGUCUUGCUGGUUUCAUUUCCAGAAUCGUUGAAUGAUACGAAAAGCAUAUACCCGGCAAACCGUACUAAAACUUUUGGAUAAAUAAGCAACAAAAUGAAAAAAAAAAUUCACAUUGGAUAAAUGUUGAAAUGAAAGCACACAAACGCAUGCAAUUGAGUAUCAAAGCGUAGAGCGCAGACGAUGUCGCUAAGCUAAUGGGAAUGGACGCAUAUUGUGAAGUUGAUAAUUUUGAACUGUCUUUGCUGUCACUGCCACUGCCGAUACUUUAAAUCUUCUAACAACAAUUCUACAAACUCAAACUUUUGCGGUUUACUUUUGCUGUAAACGUGACUUCUGCUGAUAGCACCAUUGAUGGCACAGCGCUUUCAAUGAACAAACUACAUGCUAACCAAAAAUCUGUAGACACGGCUUGGAUGCGCCCGCAAUUGGAAAGUUUAACUUACCUCUCCGAUUCAACGGCUCAAGUCGUAAAUACCCUCAUAUAGUUUUCGACAUUAGCACACAACCAGUCCUAACAAUCUUCAGAAAUGAAGUAAACUAUUUGGAGAAACCAGUCGCUUUUUCGUUCUAUAAUAGUUUAUGAUAAAUUAUUGAUAAAUAGCUAUUAUUUUACUGUUAUAAUUAAAGAGUAUGGUACACUAUAUAAACUUAUGUGUCUACGCGUAAUGAGUGUAAGCUUAUUUUUAUGUGUAUUCGUGACAGAGACGAUGUAUUUUUAUUUUUAAGUUUUAUGUGCAUUUUUAUUAGCUCAACAAGAACAAACAUAAUUAAAUUUACAUAGAACUGAUAUUAUGUGUAAAGUAAGUAAUAUACAUACAUAUAUGAUAGAAAUUCAAAACCUGUGUAUAUUUUAUUUUGGUAGUGCCAGCAGUUGUUGUACCUACAACAAUAAUAACGAUUACACACAACAAUUUCAUUUGCUAGCAGGCAACAACGAAGUAAACAAAAGGGCACGCAAUACAACUCCUUGUAAAGACAUUUGUUGUGACUGCCCGCCACAUUUUUCAUAAGAAGAUUGAUUGCGGUGUAUGAAUAAAUGUGUUGAAUUAACUACUGCUGUAUAAUUUAAAAUAUAUUCACUAGCAGGAAGCACACACAAUUGCUUUAAGCUUGUAAAUAGCAAAAACUACAUUAUCUACUAAAUAUACACAUUUAUGUAUGUACAUAUGUAUGUUCACGAAGUUAUUCAAAACCGAUUACUAUCGUAUUAGAACCCGACUAUUGUAUUCUAAAGCAAACGUUUGGCAAAUGCGUUGCAGCCUGUUGAGAAGAAUUAUCGAUAAUAACAGUUUGGAACGGUGAGGUGAUAUUUUAAAGCUUUCACGGAAACUUUUACGCAAAGCUCGUCGAAGACUAUAUACAAACAUUUGCAUGACAGUGAAAUAAGUAUUUGAUAAGAACGCAGUUUAAGUGAUAGCGUGAGCUUAGCGUUUUUUAAGAAAAAAUUCAAAUUGAAGUAAAACCGUUUUAACUUGCGCACGGAAUAUAAUUCCAACUAAAGUAUAAAUAUGACAAGUCAUCACCUGAAAUGUCAAAUGACCGCAUUUGUCUGACAAGUUAAGCAGCAACACAGCAAUUGUGAAAGUUAGCGUCGUUUUCUUUAAAAAUACAUUAAAAUUCGUAACAUGCUUUUAAAGUACCGCUAAAAUAUUCCGACAAAUGAUUGCAGCAAAGAAUGCUGUCGGCGUUUGGUAAAAAAUGGAAGCAGCAUUUCAUUACUGCAUUAGCUACAAGUGAGGUGAUGACAUUUUCGUAUGGAGACAAAUAACAAUUGGCAAUGUGUAGUUGGUAAAGUUUUAAUGAAAUUGUGGUUUCAGGCUGACGAUGUAGUUUAAAAUAAAAUGCAUAAAAUUAAGAAUUAUAUUGCAAUUAUUAAUUUUCAUCUAAGCUAUUGAUGGAGUUAAAUAAAUACACUACUGCAAUAUUUAAUAAUUUAAUUUAAUGUUUAAAAAUAUUAACUUAAAUGCUUAACGAAGAAUAUAAACAUUUAAAUAUUUGCAUCCUAUCAGCUACGCCCGCAUAUUGAAAGUUGUGUUGUAACUAAAUUGAUUUAUCAUUUAAAUUAUCCACACCUGCGGAGGGUGAGCAGCAUUGUAAUACCCUUCUUGUCUAUAUAUUGGAGGUAUUAUUUCUUUAAUUCCGAUGUAAUUACUUUAAACUAAAUUCUAUAAAUGACAACAACUCAUAAAAAUCAAUAAGUUCAAUUUAUUUAAAUUUAUUUGUUCAGAGUAAGAAUAUUGCAACUCAAUAAAUGAUGAAUGAAUGGAAAUAUUAAAAAACUUAUGUAGAAAUGACCAAAUCAAUAGCACUGUAACUGUCACCAAUGAAAAAUAUGACGAAUGAACAUGCAACAACUGUUAAAAAGUCUUAGCAAUGCGGCAUAAAACAUUUAAAUUUCUUUAUAAGUUUCGAAUUAAAAGAAUCAAAAAUAAUAAUAUUUUCUAAAUAUUGCUAAUGUCGCUUUCAUUUGCUUAAAAUCUAAGAGAAAACUCAUUUAUCCACAUUAAAAUGAACAUCAAAUCGCUUUAAUAUAGUAUGUAAACAGCUUGCGAGCAUUUAAUUAUAUGGUAGUAUAGCAUAAAACUGUAAAUAAUGCAUAUACGUAUAUAUAAAAAACUGCCAAGAACAAAUUCGCGUCAUAAAUGUCGUUGGUUCUCUAAUAACAAAUUAACAUACAACCAGUUAGAAUAUCGAAUUAGGCGAUAUAUAUUUUAAUAUAGGUUUAUACUUUAGAAAAGAAAUCAUUGCAUCUCCUUUUGAGUUAAAUUAUUGCGACCUUAGAGACAAAAUACUUGGAAAAUGCUGUAACAAGAAAUAUAAAAUUCUAUAGUUUCAAUGAAAAUAUUACGAAACUACAUUCCCGUUAACUACUAAUUGCAUUAUAUAUCCGUCAUUAAUCUAAAUUCUUAAAAACAAUAUAAAUAUAUAUUCAAAAACUUUAAUUUUCGAAGAGUUAAAGCAGUUCGCAAAGAAAAAACCAAAAACCGUUUGAAACAUUAAAGAAUGGGUUAAUGAUACACAAUGCAAUAAAAUUAGAACGUUCUAAACUGUGCUUCUGUUUUUAAACAAAAGAUAAUUGUAUAAAAAUGUACCAAAUUCGAGGUGUGGCUUAAAACAAUUUUCCAAUGACCAGCAAACUUUUUAUGUAUUUGUUGACUGGCUAAACAAAAUAAUAAAUAUAUACACAUAUGUAUAUCAAUAUCUAUUUUCUCUACACUAUCAUCAUAGAUGUAUCAUAAAUAUUAUAAUUGAAAUAUGAAUGUACUAUCAGCAUAUGAAAGAUUAUAUGCCGAUUUUAUUAAGAUAAAGUUAUGGCUUUAUUUAGCGCGGAAACACUGGCACGCCAUAAAACAUGCUAUUUCAUACAAAAAUUGUUUAUUGAUUCCCUCAAACAUAGCCGAAUACAUAAAUACAUCCGAAAAUAAUUUCGCUGUUCACACACACAUAUACAUAUAACACAUACACAAAUUGUAGCUACUUAGUUUUAGGUUAUAAUUGAUGGCAAAACGUGAUAAAUAAAUUAUUAAUAUACAGUAAUAUACAGAAAAUUAUAUGUA